UACGGGGGGGGCAAGCGUUGUUCGGAAUUACUGGGCGUAAAGGGCUCGUAGGCGGUUUUGUAAGUCUUAUGUGAAAUCUAUGGGCUCAACUCAUAGACUGCAUGAGAAACUGCAGGGCUUGAGUAUGGGAGAGGUGAGUGGAAUUCCUGGUGUAGCGGUGAAAUGCGUAGAUAUCAGGAGGAACACCUGUGGCGAAAGCGGCUCACUGGACCAUAACUGACGCUGAUGCACGAAAGCUAGGGGAGCAAACAGG
rnacentral:rRNA from 1 species